rnacentral:rRNA from 1 species
AGAGUUUGAUCAUGGCUCAGAUUGAACGCUGGCGGCAGGCCUAACACAUGCAAGUCGAGCGGUAGAGAGAAGCUUGCUUCUCUUGAGAGCGGCGGACGGGUGAGUAAUGCCUAGGAAUCUGCCUGGUAGUGGGGGAUAACGUUCGGAAACGGACGCUAAUACCGCAUACGUCCUACGGGAGAAAGCAGGGGACCUUCGGGCCUUGCGCUAUCAGAUGAGCCUAGGUCGGAUUAGCUAGUUGGUGAGGUAAUGGCUCACCAAGGCGACGAUCCGUAACUGGUCUGAGAGGAUGAUCAGUCACACUGGAACUGAGACACGGUCCAGACUCCUACGGGAGGCAGCAGUGGGGAAUAUUGGACAAUGGGCGAAAGCCUGAUCCAGCCAUGCCGCGUGUGUGAAGAAGGUCUUCGGAUUGUAAAGCACUUUAAGUUGGGAGGAAGGGCAGUUACCUAAUACGUGAUUGUUUUGACGUUACCGACAGAAUAAGCACCGGCUAACUCUGUGCCAGCAGCCGCGGUAAUACAGAGGGUGCAAGCGUUAAUCGGAAUUACUGGGCGUAAAGCGCGCGUAGGUGGUUAGUUAAGUUGGAUGUGAAAUCCCCGGGCUCAACCUGGGAACUGCAUUCAAAACUGACUGACUAGAGUAUGGUAGAGGGUGGUGGAAUUUCCUGUGUAGCGGUGAAAUGCGUAGAUAUAGGAAGGAACACCAGUGGCGAAGGCGACCACCUGGACUGAUACUGACACUGAGGUGCGAAAGCGUGGGGAGCAAACAGGAUUAGAUACCCUGNUAGUCCACGCCGUAAACGAUGUCAACUAGCCGUUGGGAGCCUUGAGCUCUUAGUGGCGCAGCUAACGCAUUAAGUUGACCGCCUGGGGAGUACGGCCGCAAGGUUAAACUCANUGAAUUGACGGGGGCCCGCACAAGCGGUGGAGCAUGUGGUUUAAUUCGAAGCACGC